GGAAAUGAAAAAAAUAGAAAAGAAACAGAAUGAAACGAAACAGAGAGCAAGGAAGGAAAGAAAAGAAAGAAAGGGAGAAAAGGGAAAUUUUAAAUUUCAAGGUCUGAAAGUUUAAUUGUCAAUGUGAUACCGGAAAUCUCGGCUAAGAAAGGACAAGACAAAGUCAACGGGAGUUAGCUCGAAAAUUACGGUUAAGUUAAGGCUAGACUGUUGAAUCAGCAUCUCAGGCCGAUCCCGAAUUCAAUGAGGUAAAGUAUGUUGAGUAUUGAUAAUGGCAUGUACCCAGGAUGUUUAAUGAGAGUCAUUUAGGUUGUAAAUGUAACGUCCCCAUACCCGAGACCGUUGCCGGAGUCAAGCAGGAGACAUUACAAAACUUAUCAUAGCACUUAAACAGUUUUCGUAGUAAACUAUCCAUCUGCAUCAUGGUCGCUAAAAAAAUCAUAUCUCGAGUUACGAAACUCGAAAUCCAAUUCCGUAA